UACGGAGGAUGCGAGCGUUAUCCGGAUUUAUUGGGUUUAAAGGAUGCGUAGGCGGGAUGCCAAGUCAGCGGUAAAAAUGCGGUGCUCAACGCCGUCGAGCCGUUGAAACUGGCGUUCUUGAGUGGGCGAGAAGUAUGCGGAAUGCGUGGUGUAGCGGUGAAAUGCAUAGAUAUCACGCAGAACUCCGAUUGCGAAGGCAGCAUACCGGCGCCCUACCGACGCUGAGGCACGAAAGCGUGGGUAUCGAACAGG
rnacentral:rRNA from 1 species